rnacentral:misc_RNA from 1 species
UUAAGUUCAGCGGGUAGUCCUACCUGAUUUGAGGUCAAAUAUUCAGAAAUUGUCCACAAGUGGACGAUUGGAAGCUGAACACAAAGAGAGCAGACUGUCUUGGGCGCAGAUAAUUAUCACACCGGCGACAGACCGCAAACGGUUCCGCUAAUGCAUUUCAGGGGAGCUGACCUCAAAAACAGAGGCCCGCAAAAAGUACC